UACGUAGGGUGCAAGCGUUGUCCGGAAUUAUUGGGCGUAAAGAGCUCGUAGGCGGUUUGUUGCGUCGGCUGUGAAAUCCCGAGGCUCAACCUCGGGCUCGCAGUCGAUACGAGCAAACUAGAGUGUUGCAGGGGAGACUGGAAUUCCUGGUGUAGCGGUGAAAUGCGCAGAUAUCAGGAGGAACACCAGUGGCGAAGGCGGCUUUCUGGUCUGUAAACUGACGCUGGAGGCGCGAAAAGCGUGGGGGAGCAAACAGG
rnacentral:rRNA from 1 species